rnacentral:rRNA from 1 species
CAGUAGCCGCGGUAAUACGGAGGGAGCUAGCGUUGUUCGGAAUUACUGGGCGUAAAGCGCGCGUAGGUGGUUCGCCAAGUUGGAUGUGAAAUCCCCGGGCUCAACCUGGGAACUGCAUUGGUGACUGCAACGCUGGAGUGCGGCAGAGGGGGAUGGAAUUCCGCGUGUAGCAGUGAAAUGCGUAGAUAUGCGGAGGAACACCGAUGGCGAAGGCAAUCCCCUGGGCCUGCACUGACGCUCAUGCACGAAAGCGUGGGGAGCAAACAGGAUUAGAUACCCCAGUAGUCCCUGUCUCUUAUAC